UGUUUGGGAUUGAGGUGCUUAAAAAAAAAGCUACUAUGAAAAAAAGCUAUGAAAAUUUUUGGUGUUUGGUAAACUUUGAAAAACAGCUUUUUUUCAAAGUUGAGGGUGAAAAAAAGCCCAAAACCAAGAGAUGACAAGAAGCUGCAAUUUGCAGCUUCCAAAAGCUGCUUAUUUUCACCCACACACGGGUGAACAGUAACCGGUUUAAUGAAAAUUUCCAUAACCCAAAACUGCCCUCGGCAUUUCCUUCACCGACGCUUGCCUUUCUCCAAAAACUCUCUCGCACGCUCUUCACCUCAGAGCUCUCUCGCCUUUCUCCGAACCUCAGGCUCUCUCUCGUUCUCAGAGCUCUCUCGCCUUUCUCCGAACCUCAGGCUCUCUCUCGUUCUCUCCUUCUCUCGAUCUCGUUCUCCAGGUUUCUCCAGGUAAGCUUCUCAUUUAUGUGUUUGGAUUUUUCAAAUUAGGGAUGGGGAGAUUAGGGAAAGAGGGGUGGGAAGAGCAAAGGGAUGAGGGUAUGGGUGUCGGGAAAAACAAUUGGGGAUGGAGGGUGGGGAAAAAUUAAUUGGGGAAGGGUGAUAUGGUUUGUGGAAAAAAUUAAUUGGGAAAAAAUUAAUUGGGGAAAAAAUUAGGGUUUGUGGAGGAAACAAAAAAGAUCUGCUUCUGAUUCUGAUUUAGUAAUUCACAGCUGCAGAUGCAUCUGUGUUUCUAGCUGCAGCUGCAGAUGCAUCUGUAUUUUUAGUAAUUCACAGCUGCAGAUGACAGAGAGUAGCAUUUGUGUUUAUGUUGUUUCUAUCUGUUUUGUUUUGAUUUUGCUACCAACAAGCAUCCGCGCAUUUUUCCAAUGUUGUUUUCUUUCUACACGUUGCCAUAUCCAAAAUUUUGAAAUAUAAAUAUAGUAUGAACACAAAAACGCCCUUAGGACCAUAUCUAUUUAUGCCAUUUCGAAGUCAAGCUGCAAAUGUUAAAAUUAAGUUGGUUCUAAGUACGUUGUAUGUCCCAUGGUUCGAUUUUGUAUAGGUCAAUGUCAACGAUGACAUCUAGGUCAAUAUGUAGUGAGUUGAUCUUUCUUUUCAGGUAGUAACCCACAAGUUCUUCUUCUGUCGGGUGAAAUCUGAAGCCUGGUGGAACACAAGAUUCCAUCUCCAUUACUAAUGUUCAGUAUGUAGGCGCACCUGCAUAUCAGGCAAGGAAGUAUGAGGAAGAGUAAUUAUUAUACUUUUGACCAGCUAUAUAUGUGCAUGAGUGUUUAUAGAGAGAGUACUACCAAUCUUGUUGUAGUCAUGUAUAUUCAUCCAUCAUAUGAAAUAAAAAGAGUCAUGUGAUCCA